rnacentral:rRNA from 1 species
AGAGUUUGAUCCUGGCUCAGGAUGAACGCUAGCUACAGGCUUAACACAUGCAAGUCGAGGGGAAACGGCAUUUGGUGCUUGCACCAUUUGGACGUCGACCGGCGCACGGGUGAGUAACGCGUAUCCAACCUGCCCAUAAGUAGGGUAUAACCCGCAGAAAUGCGGACUAAUCCCCUAUGUUGUUCAAAGACGGCAUCAGAUUUGAACCAAAGGCUUGCCGCUUAUGGAUGGGGAUGCGUCCGAUUAGCUUGUUGGUGGGGUAACGGCCCACCAAGGCAUCGAUCGGUAGGGGUUCUGAGAGGAAGGCCCCCCACAUAGGAACUGAGACACACAUUGGAACUGAGACACGGUCCAAACUCCUACGGGAGGCAGCAGUGAGGAAUAUUGGUCAAUGGGCGAGAGCCUGAACCAGCCAAGUAGCGUGCAGGAAGACGGCCCUAUGGGUUGUAAACUGCUUUUAUGUGGGGAUAAAGUGCGCGACGUGUCGUGCAUUGCAGGUACCACAUGAAUAAGGACCGGCUAAUUCCGUGCCAGCAGCCGCGGUAAUACGGAAGGUCCGGGCGUUAUCCGGAUUUAUUGGGUUUAAAGGGAGCGUAGGCUGUCUAUUAAGCGUGUUGUGAAAUUUACCGGCUCAACCGGUGGCUUGCAGCGCGAACUGGUCGACUUGAGUAUGCAGGAAGUAGGCGGAAUUCAUGGUGUAGCGGUGAAAUGCUUAGAUAUCAUGACGAACUCCGAUUGCGCAGGCAGCUUACUGUAGCAUAACUGACGCUGAUGCUCGAAAGUGCGGGUAUCAAACAGGAUUAGAUACCCUGGUAGUCCGCACGGUAAACGAUGGAUGCUCGCUAUUCGUCCUAUUUGGAUGAGUGGCCAAGUGAAAACAUUAAGCAUCCCACCUGGGGAGUACGCCGGCAACGGUGAAACUCAAAGGAAUUGACGGGGGCCCGCACAAGCGGAGGAACAUGUGGUUUAAUUCGAU